rnacentral:rRNA from 1 species
UGAACGCUAGCGGCAGGCUUAACACAUGCAAGUCGAGGGGUAGAAGCAGCUUGCUGCUUUGAGACCGGCGCACGGGUGCGUAACGCGUAUGCAAUCUACCUUUUACAGAGGGAUAGCCCAGAGAAAUUUGGAUUAAUACCUCAUAGUAUGUGAGAAUCGCAUGGUUUUUCACAUUAAAGUUCCAACGGUAAAAGAUGAGCAUGCGUCCCAUUAGCUAGAUGGUAAGGUAACGGCUUACCAUGGCGACGAUGGGUAGGGGUCCUGAGAGGGAGAUCCCCCACACUGGUACUGAGACACGGACCAGACUCCUACGGGAGGCAGCAGUGGGGAAUUUUGGACAAUGGGGGCAACCCUGAUCCAGCAAUGCCGCGUGAGUGAAGAAGGCCUUCGGGUUGUAAAGCUCUUUUGUCAGGGAAGAAACAGCAGCUCUAACACAGUCUGCGAAUGACGGUACCUGAAGAAUAAGCACCGGCUAACUACGUG